AAGCCCACUCAAGCGACUUUGCUUGGUCUUGGAAGAAGAGAGCCUACGGCCCUCCCUUCCGAAAUUGAAUGGCGGAAAGUCUCACGUGCCCACGCGUAGUAAGUUAAUCUUUCGCUUGGACUCUGAGGCGUUCUCGCCCUCCAAUCCCCAACACACUUUGGUUUGACCUCGGAUCAGGUAGGGAUACCCGCUGAACUUAAGCAUAUCAAUAAGCGGAGGAAAAGAAACCAACAGGGAUUGCCUUAGUAACUGCGAGUGAAGCGGCAAAAGCUCAAAUUUGAAAUCUGGCGUCUUCGGCGUCCGAGUUGUAAUUUGGAGGGAUAUCUUCGGAGUUGGCGCCGUCCUAAGUUCCUUGGAACAGGACGUCACAGAGGGUGAGAAUCCCGUGCCUGGAUGGAUGUCCAUCUCCAUGUGAAGUGUCUCC
rnacentral:misc_RNA from 1 species